rnacentral:lncRNA from 1 species
GGACUCUAGGGACUCUAGCUCAGUGACAGAAAUGAGGCCUUUUUGUUCUGUCCCCAUGACUACAGAAGACUAGAAGAUGAGAUCUACUGUGGGAUUUAAAAGCCUAGCCUGAGAGUAUAUACAGACUAAUUGGGGGAUUGGAUGCUGAUUAAGUUAGCAAGCUUGUUAAGAGUGGUUUAAAAGGUCAGGGGAUGGUAGACACCUUUAACUCCCCAGCAUUUCCAAGGCAGAGGCAGGCGGAUCUCUGAGUUCAAGGCUAGCAGGUGCCAUAAAACCCUUUUGAAGAAGAAGAAAAAAAAAAGAUUUGAAUAUACCUCUUAAUAGCUAUAGUUGACAAUAGGGGUGGGAGGAAGACUUAAUCGCACAUCCUUGGGUUCAAUCUCCAGAGAAGAGAAAUUAUUGUAAAGUAAUAUUUAGUUGCUUACAAGUUGCUGGUCUGUAGUAUUUAAUUCAGUGAACAGAAAGCUAGACUUGUGGGCUGGAGACAUCUCUUAGCGGUUAAGAGCACUGACUGCUCUUCCAGAGGCCCUGAGUUCAAAUCCCAGCAACCACAUGGUGGCUCACAACCAUCUGUAAUGCAGCCCAAUGUGUCUAAAAUACAGCUACAGUGUACUACUCAUAUAUAAAAUAAAUAGUUUUUUUAAAAAACAGGAAGAAAGCUGGGAGUGUGGUUAAGUGGGUGUUGGCUCAGCAUGUGCAGAGCCUGGGUUGGAUCUCCAGCAACGUGUAAGUUGGGCAUGUUGAUGCAUGCCUCUAAUUUUUAGCCCUAGCAGAUGGCAAAAACAAUAACAAAAAAAAACCAAAAGCAAACAGAAUUUCUAAAAAAAAGAUUCAUUUACUUAAUGUAUGAGUAUUCUAUCUGCAUGUAAACCUGUGUGCCAGAGAGAGCAUCAGAUCCUACUAUAGAUGGUUGUGAAUCACCAUGUGUUUGCUGAGAAUUAAACUCAAGACCAGAAGAGCGACCAUCUUAACUGUUGAGUCAUCUCUCCAGCCCCAAAAGAUCAGAAUUUUCAAGUAGUUUUUUAAUCUAAGUUUGAGGCCAUCUUUUUAUCUCAAAACAAAAGGUAAAAGGUGUAUGCAUAAGACUGAUUUAGCCUAGAGUCCUAAAAAAAUUUAAAUGCAACAAAUCUCAGUUUGGUUUUUGUGGUGUUUUUUUUGUUUUUUUUUUUUUUUUCUUUUAAAGAUUUAUUUAUUUUAUUCAUAUGAGUACACUGUAGCCUUCUUCAGUUACACCAGAAGAGGGCGUCUGAUCCCAUUACAGAUGGUUGUGAGCUACCAUGUGGUUGCUGGGCCUCCUACCCCCAAACAAGAUAUGUAAACCAGAAAUACCCUGUUGUCAUUGUCUUAAUUGGCAACCCUCUGAGUUUUUUUCUUUUAAGUACUGGGAUUACUGAUGGAAGCCAAUAUUUUCAGUUCCUUUCUUGUUACUGAGAAACAUAGUCUCAUUGUGCAGUCUAGGGCAACCUUGUACUCUGUCCUAGUUCUAAGAUUGUAGUGCUACUAACUACACCCAGCAUCACUAGAGUUGGCAAUGUUAGUGUUUCAGUCCUCAAUGAUUUGAGACAAUCUGAUUGUCUCAGGAUAGCUUCAGAUCUCAGUAUCCUGCCCUAGUAGCUAUCUACCACCUGAAUGUUGUGGAUAGAACCUUGUAUGGAUGGAAAGCAUUUAUUAUCAGACAUAGAUCCUCACACCUUCUCUGGUGAAUUCGUUACUGGACUAAGAUUUUUGAUUACUUUCUACAUUAUAUAAGAAGACACCAAAGGAGGUUUUUGUUUUGUUUUGUUUUUUGUUUUUUUCCUUGUGUUUAAUUUUGUUAUUUUCAUGUGUGCACAACAUGAUUGUAGGGUUUCAGACCCCCCUGGCAUUGAGAUUUCAGUUGGUUAUGCCACUUAAUAUGGGUGCUGGAACUUGAACCCAGGUCUUUGAAUAAUAGUAGUCCAUGUCCAUGCCACUGAGCAAUCUGACCAGACCAUCUUGUUGGUUCUGACAAUCUCAGCCAGGCCGGGUGGUGAACAUCUUUACUCACAGCCAGGCCAGACUGUUCCACAGGGGAAGUAUUAGGAAAGCCCAGGGCUAGAGAGACCCUUUCACAAAGAGGACUCAUUCAGUACCCUACCUAGGCUAGUCUUAGACUUAGAUUUUCAUGUGUCAGCUUUUUUACUGCUUUGAUUAUAGGCACAUGUUACAAUUUAGGGCUUAUGAUUUUGUUUUGAUAUUUGAGACUGAUUAUGUGUACUUUCUCCAGUUUUGCAUAGUAAUAAAUUGACUCAUACAGACUUGAAGCCUGAAAACAUCUUAUUUGUGAAGUCUGACUACACAGAGGCUUAUAAUCCC